AAUAUUGCACGAUGGGCGCAAGCCUGAUCCAGCAACGCCGCGUGAGGGAUGACGGCCUUCGGGUUGUAAACCUCUUUCAGUACCGACGAAGCGCCCGUUGUGGGUGGUGACGGUAGGUACAGAAGAAGCACCGGCCAACUACGUGCCAGCAGCCGCGGUAAUACGUAGGGUGCGAGCGUUGUCCGGAAUUAUUGGGCGUAAAGGGCUCGUAGGCGGUUUGUCGCGUCGGGAGUGAAAACACCGGGCUUAACUCGGUGCUUGCUUUCGAUACGGGCAGACUAGAGGUAUGCAGGGGAGAACGGAAUUCCUGGUGUAGCGGUGAAAUGCGCAGAUAUCAGGAGGAACACCGGUGGCGAAGGCGGUUCUCUGGGCAUUACCUGACGCUGAGGAGCGAAAGUGUGGGGAGCGAAC
rnacentral:rRNA from 1 species